GAUAAACGCUGACAGAAUGCUUAACACAUGCAAGUCGAUGGGGAAGUGGUGCUUGCACCAUGGCAACCAUGGCGGACGGGUGAGUAACGCGUAAGGGACUUACCUGCAGGACUGGGAUAACAGGGGGAAACUCCUGACAAGACCGGAUAAUGUCAUGGAGCUGCAUGGCUUUAUGAUGAAAGGAGACGCCUGCGGAGAGCCUUGCGUCCUAUUAGCUAGUUGGUGAGGUAAUGGCUCACCAAGGCGAAGAUAGGUAGCCGGCCUGAGAGGGUGGACGGCCACAAGGGGACUGAGAUACGGCCCUUACUCCUACGGGAGGCAGCAGUGGGGAAUAUUGGACAAUGGGGGCAACCCUGAUCCAGCAAUUCUGUGUGCACGAAGAAGGUUUUCGGAUUGUAAAGUGCUUUCAGCAGGGAAGAAGUAAGUGACGGUACCUGCAGAAGAAGCGACGGCUAAAUACGUG
rnacentral:rRNA from 1 species